CCCGCGGUCCGCCCAGUGCCGCCGAGGGGGCAGCAGAGCAGGGCGCAGGGCCCUCCCAGCCCCGCUGUAGCGCCACGCGGGUGGGAGCCUACGGCGCCGGGGCCGCAGGCAGGGGUCCCCACCCCGCGCCCCCCAAGAAGUGGGUGACCAUCGCCCGUCGGUACAACCGCGGCGCUGCGGCUGCGUUACCUUCGGCGCGUCCUCGCAGAAAAGCCCGAAGCCGGGAGUUUGACGAGGUGGGACCGGGCGGCCUGGGCUCCUGGCGCAGGGGGUGGAGUGGGCGUGCAGCAGCGGAGCCCGGCACCUCCCACCCGAGGGCGGCCGGGACGCCCGGCUCCGCGGACACCUGCGCGCAAAGCCCAGCGGCGGCUGGAAUCUGCGCCCGGAAAUCAGGGUCAGUGGUUUUAGCCACAAGGAGACCAAGCACAACUCUGUCUUCUGUCCCCCGGCUAGUGACAAAAGUCCUGAACUCCUAGGGUGACUUGCUGGAGUGAGUCGUCAUUCUGCAGAAGUCAAAUUUGACCCAGAGUCAAGUGCAAUCUGAAGCCAGCGAUCCUUCUGACUCCUCACCAGGUCAACAGUAGCCUAAAUGUGUCACAGCACCUACAUUAUCCUUUUCCCUUCUUCUCAUCACUAGACAUUUUAUCAUCUCACCUCAUCCCAAGGAGAAGGGUGAGUCCAGCACAGUAAGACAUUCAGAGAGAGAGAGAGAGACCGCAGUUACAUAACUUUUAUUAUAGUAAAUAUAAACUUUAUCAUAAGCAUGUAUGUAUAGGAAAAAAACCAGUGUAUAUAGGCAUCAGUACUAUCCAUGGUUUCAGACAGCCACUGGGAGGUCUUGGAACCUA